rnacentral:rRNA from 1 species
UACGUAGGGCGCAAGCGUUGUCCGGAAUUAUUGGGCGUAAAGAGCUCGUAGGCGGUCUGUCGCGUCUGUUGUGAAAACUCGAGGCUCAACCUCGGGCUUGCAGUGGAUACGGGCAGACUAGAGUGCGGUAGGGGAGACUGGAAUUCCUGGUGUAGCGGUGGAAUGCGCAGAUAUCAGGAGGAACACCGAUGGCGAAGGCGGGAUCCUGGGCCAGUACUGACGCUGAGGAGCGAAAGCGUGGGGAGCAAACAGGG